AUGGAGCCGCAAAAGCAGGGACAGAGGGACCUUUGGGAGCAAUUUACAGUCACCUAUCACAGAGUAUCCCAGACUCUUAUGCUCUGGAUGAAGACAAAAGGAACCAUCUCUUUCCUAAGACACCCCAUGCAGCUGGCUGGAGAACAUCCAGGAGCCUAGAAG
rnacentral:lncRNA from 1 species